rnacentral:rRNA from 1 species
GGACUACUGGGGUUUCUAAUCCCGUUCGCUCCCCUGGCUUUCGCGCCUCAGCGUCAGAAGAGGGCCAGCACGUCGCUUUCGCCACCGGCGUUCCUUCCGAUAUCAACGCAUUUCACCGCUCCACCGGAAGUUCCACGUGCCCCUACCUCCCUCAAGACGACCAGUAUCCGAGGCCAUUCUCCGGUUAAGCCGAAGGCUUUCACCCCGGACUUGAUCAUCCGCCUACGCGCCCUUUAAGCCCAGUGAUUCCGAACAACGUUCGCACGGUUCGUCUUACCGCGGCUGCUGGCAC